ACGGGUGAGUAAUACGUAGGAAUCUGCCCUAGAGUGGGGGAUAACCUGCCGAAAGGCGGGCUAAUACCGCAUGAUCUCUAAGGAGCAAAGGUGUCUUGUACUUGUACAAGGUUUCGCUUUAGGAUGAGCCUACGUCGGAUUAGCUAGUUGGUAGGGUAAUGGCCUACCAAGGCAACAAUCCGUAGCUGGUCUGAGAGGACGAUCAGCCACACUGGAACUGAGACACGGUCCAGACUCCUACGGGAGGCAGCAGUGGGGAAUAUUGGACAAUGGGGGCAACCCUGAUCCAGCAAUGCCGCGUGUGCGAUGAAGGCCUGCGGGUUGUAAAGCACUUUCGGUGAGGAAGAAACGCUCAAAUAUAAUACAUUUGAGAACUGACGCUACUCACAGAAGAAGCACCGGCAAACUCUGUGCCAGCAGCCGCGGUAGUACAGAGGGUGCAAGCGUUAAUCGGAGUUACUGGGCGUAAAGGGCGUGUAGGCUGAUAUUUAAGUCGAUUGUGAAAUCCCUGGGCUUAACCUAGGAAUUGCAGUCGAUACUGAAUGUCUAGAGUAUGGUAGAGGAAAGUGGAAUUCUCGGU
rnacentral:rRNA from 1 species